CUGGUUGAUCCUGCCAGUAGUCAUAUGCUUGUCUCAAAGCUUAAGCCAUGCAAGUCUCAGUACGAGCUGCCUUAAAGUGAAACCGCAAAAGGCUCAGUAAACCGGUCAUAGUUUACCGGACAUA
rnacentral:rRNA from 1 species